rnacentral:rRNA from 1 species
AGAGUUUCCUUUUGGCUCAGGAUGAACGCUGGCGGCGUGCCUAACACAUGCAAGUCGAGCGAAGCGCUAUACUUGAAUUCUUCGGAAGGAAAGUAUUGUGACUGAGCGGCGGACGGGUGAGUAACGCGUGGGUAACCUGCCUCAUACAGGGGGAUAACAGUUAGAAAUGACUGCUAAUACCGCAUAAGACCACAGCACCGCAUGGUGCGGGGGUAAAAACUCCGGUGGUAUGAGAUGGACCCGCGUCUGAUUAGCUAGUUGGUAAGGUAAGGGCUUACCAAGGCGACGAUCAGUAGCCGACCUGAGAGGGUGACCGGCCACAUUGGGACUGAGACACGGCCCAAACUCCUACGGGAGGCAGCAGUGGGGAAUAUUGCACAAUGGGGGAAACCCUGAUGCAGCGACGCCGCGUGAGUGAUGAAGUAUUUCGGUAUGUAAAGCUCUAUCAGCAGGGAAGAAAAUGACGGUACCUGACUAAGAAGCACCGGCUAAAUACGUGCCAGCAGCCGCGGUAAUACGUAUGGUGCAAGCGUUAUCCGGAUUUACUGGGUGUAAAGGGAGCGUAGACGGAGAGGCAAGUCUGAUGUGAAAACCCGGGGCUCAACCCCGGGACUGCAUUGGAAACUGUUUUUCUAGAGUGUCGGAGAGGCAAGUGGAAUUCCUAGUGUAGCGGUGAAAUGCGUAGAUAUUAGGGGGAACACCAGUGGCGAAGGCGGCUUGCUGGACGAUGACUGACGUUGAGGCUCGAAAGCGUGGGGAGCAAACAGGAUUAGAUACCCUGGUAGUCCACGCCGUAAACGAUGACUACUAGGUGUCGGGUGGCAAAGCCAUUCGGUGCCGCAGCAAACGCAAUAAGUA